UAAAAGCAACCCAUUUAUUAUCUUUCUCCCAUCGAAACCAAACAACUCUGAUUUCAUGUUGCAUCUCUGCAUUAUGUAGACAAAUGUAGACAAAGCGCCCGACCGAAAGGAAGCACUAAUCGCUAUAAAGGUACGUCAAGACAUUUAGGGAAACCCUGUGUCGCUUAUGUGAUGAAAACCCAACACUGAAUAUGACUUUGAAAGAUUUCUUCUUCUUCUGUGGUGCAUUAACAACAUAUUAGUGCACUGCUUCCCAAUCGGUUCCUUUGUGGCCAAGCAGUUUAAAUAGUUUGAUCUGCCUUAAAAGUUUGGGUUAUUUAACAAAACCUAGCAAGUGUAACAACUAAGUGCAGCUCACUAACCACAACUAAGUAACGUAAACCACUGGAUGUUACGGCGAACAAACGCUUAUUUAAUCGCAUGAUAAGGGAGAGCGUAGCCUGCUGUAAUAAAAGCUGUUCGCAUUGUUCGCACGCUUUAUUUAUUAUGUCUUAAAAAACGCUAAUCUUUACAUCUCCAUUGCCUCGCACGCUCAAGACGCCCUGAUGUUUACGACCACAGUGUGAAUGUUUUGGCGAGCUCCCUUAAGAAGAGUUCGACGCCUGCUUGCUACGGGCCGGAGAACACGUAGACCCCGGCUGCAAACAGAGACACGGUUCUAGAUCAAGUUACGGGACAUCCCAGGGCCUUUUUAAGCAGCGCCUGAAUGCAUUUGUUGGCGUUACGGAUCGAAGCGUUGUGCUGCUGUUCUUCUUCGGCUAUAAAAGGCUGUUCAGGGAGAAAACAAAACUCCAAUGCCCUGCAAUUUAUUGAUCGCAAUGCGUUUGGGAAAACACAGCAAGGACGGCGGACCAAAACCAGAUGCGGAAAAUCUUGUUAAACGGAACAGUAGUGAUCUGAAACCAGACCGUGAGUAUUUAACAGCUCUGAUUGGAGUAACUUGGAGUUCAACACUUUUAACCAGCGUGCAGCAAAUCAUCCAGGACACAAAGCUAGGUGUCUGUGAGGGUAAUACGCAGCAGCCUAUUAUUUUUUGCAUCUUUCAGUCUCUCAAGACGCCGAAGGACCCGAUGCGUCCAAGACGAGCGUAUCAUAAAUCUCUGUGAAUCUCUCCUGUUUCUUCACACGGAGAUGCAAGAGUUAAUUGCUUCCAGACAACGGCUCCGUCCAAUCAGGAGCUUGAUCCACAUCCUGGUCUUACGCCAGAUAACACCACCACGAUUCACAAAAAAUACUGAAAUGUUGAGUUCGGCUCCAGCUCUUCGGCGUGGUAUGAAAAGCACGCUUGUUAUUUAGUAGAGAGCAUGUGUCCAGUUUACUCUGAAGUGAAGAAAUUUGUGUAUUUAACUGCUUGUGCUUGUGCUGUAUUUUCAACUUGAUUGCAUUGUGUUUCAGGGUUAACGGGGUUGUCCAGUUUUACAGUUUACACGGAGACUAGGUCUUAGGUCUAAAAAAAUGUAAUUAUUGUCUGUUUAGGGAGUUUAUCUUACAAUAAAGUGUCUUUAGAAUAGUAGUUGGGAGAAAACCCAGAGACAACAGCUUUAUAAAGCCACUGCUGUCUCUUGUCAUGAAUGUGAAAUACAGAUUAAAGAUACAGGAUUAAUUUGUAUUCAUGCAAAACACGCUUUUGCCCGUAAUUUAUUGAUUGCAGAUAGUUUACAUGCAUUUUGAUUUUAAUUUUAUGUUCGAAUCUCGAAGUCGGAGCCGUGUCUUUAAAUAUAAUGUGUAUAUGUAAAUAUUGUGCGUGCUUUAUGUGCUUUGCAUCUUUAAAUUGAUUUGUAAAAAUAACACCAUGACGUUUCAGAUGAUAAACACAUGUCACAUGACCAAAGGCGUGGUAAUAAACACACGUCAUAUAUUUUUCGUACACUGAAUAUUGUAAAAAAAUAAAGGUUUAUCAUAACUCCCUGA